UACCUGCCCCCAUCAUCCAACUUCUUUUAUCCCCCAACCUUCACCCUUCCUCAAAUGUAUCCCAUUGCUGACACAAGGGCCACCCCUUGCUCUGACAGUCCCACUUCAGUGACUCUCCAUCAGCCGGAUAAUUAGCAGCUGGGGCCUUGUCAUCAGCUGUUGUGGGCCUGGAGGAGAGGGGUGGCUGGGCUGUGAAAGGCCAGGCUGCUCUGGCCAGUGUCUUGGCUACUAAAGGCUCCUCUUUUAGAGCUGGCAGGAAUCCUUGCCCCCUCCACCAGUGAUUCCCCCACCCCUUUGACCCCAUCUCCGCCCUGUCAACUAGUGGCUAGUUCAAACACUCAACCCUUCCAGCCAGACUGGGAUUGAGCGUUGACCCUCUGGCCCUCUGAGGAUUUAAAGCAGGUGCUCGCAUUCAGCAAACAGGACCUGCCUAAUUGGUGAAAAAGUCACAAGGAUGGGAAUGGUUGGGUCUCCUCUUGAGGUUGCAUAGGUGCCUUAACUUAAUUAAUGUAGAACUUUAAGUGUAUUUUUUGGAUUUUAAUUGUUGUAACACAA